GGGCGCUUAGCUCAGGGGGAGAGCGCUUCCCUGACACGGAAGAGGUCACAAGUUCAAAUCUUGUAGCGCCCACCA
rnacentral:tRNA from 2 species